ensembl:lncRNA
AUGGUAUUAGUACUGACCCUGUAUAUAGUAUGUUUAUACAUAUCUACCUCCAUCACUCCAGUAUUCCUGCUCAUUGUAGAUAUGGUAUUGGAACUGACCCUGUAUAUAGUAUGUUUAUCCAUAUACAUAUCUACCUUCAUCACUCCAGUAUUCCUGCUCAUUGUAGAUAUGGUAUUGGUACUGACCCUGUAUAUAGUAUGUUUAUACAUAUCUACCUCCAUCACUCCAGUAUUCCUGCUCAUUGUAGAUAUGGUAUUGGAACUGACCCUAUAUAUAGUUUGUUUAUACAUAUCUACCUUCAUCACUCCAGUAUCCCUGCUCAUUGUAGAUAUGGUAUUGGUACUGACCCUGUAUAUAGUAUGUUUAUACAUAUCUACCUUCAUCACUCCAGUAUUCCUGCUCAUUGUAGAUAUGGUAUUGGUACUGACCCUGUAUAUAGUAUGUUUAUACAUAUCUACCUUCAUCACUCCAGUAUUCCUGCUCAUUGUAGAUAUGGUAUUGGUACUGACCCUGUAUAUAGUAUGUUUAUACAUAUCUACCUUCAUCACUCCAUUAUCCCUGCUCACUGUAGAUAUGGUAUUGGAACUGACCCUGUAUAUAGUAUGUUUAUACAUAUACAUAUCUACCUUCAUCACUCCAGUAUUCCUGCUCAUUGUAGAUAUGGUAUUGGUACUGACCCUGUAUAUAGUAUGUUUAUACAUAUCUACCUUCAUCACUCCAGUAUUCCUGCUCAUUGUAGAUAUGGUAUUGGAACUGACCCUGUAUAUAGUAUGUUUAUACAUAUCUACCUUCAUCACUCCAGUAUUCCUGCUCAUUGUAGAUAUGGUAUUGGAACUGACCCUGUAUAUAGUAUGUUUGUCCAUAUACAUAUCUACCUUCAUCACUCCAGUAUUCCUGCUCAUUGUAGAUAUGGUAUUGGAACUGACCCUGUAUAUAGUAUGUUUAUACAUAUCUACCUCCAUCACUCCAGUAUUCCUGCUCAUUGUAGAUAUGGUAUUGGAACUGACCCUGUAUAUAGUAUGUUUAUCCAUAUACAUAUCUACCUUCAUCACUCCAGUAUUCCUGCUCAUUGUAGAUAUGGUAUUGGUACUGACCCUGUAUAUAGUAUGUUUAUACAUAUCUACCUUCAUCACUCCAGUAUUCCUGCUCAUUGUAGAUAUGGUAUUGGUACUGACCCUGUAUAUAGUAUGUUUAUACAUAUCUACCUUCAUCACUCCAGUAUUCCUGCUCAUUGUAGAUAUGGUAUUGGAACUGACCCUGUAUAUAGUAUGUUUAUACAUAUCUACCUCCAUCACUCCAGUAUUCCUGCUCAUUGUAGAUAUGGUAUUGGUACUGACCCUGUAUAUAGUAUGUUUAUACAUAUCUACCUUCAUCACUCCAGUAUUCCUGCUCAUUGUAGAUAUGGUAUUGGUACUGACCCUGUAUAUAGUAUGUUUAUACAUAUCUACCUUCAUCACUCCAGUAUUCCUGCUCAUUGUAGAUAUGGUAUUGGUACUGACCCUGUAUAUAGUAUGUUUAUACAUAUCUACCUCCAUCACUCCAGUAUUCCUGCUCAUUGUAGAUAUGGUAUUGGUACUGACCCUGUAUAUAGUAUGUUUAUACAUAUCUACCUUCAUCACUCCAGUAUUCCUGCUCAUUGUAGAUAUGGUAUUGGUACUGACCCUGUAUAUAGUAUGUUUACUUAGUUAUUGUGUUUCUUCAUAUUUCUUCUUAUUUCUCGUAUGUUUUUUUCUAGUAUUACAUUGUUAUUGA